AUGGAUAUCUCUGUUGAGGAUGAAGAUGAAGAAUUAGAUUUCUGCAUUCUUGCAAUGGCACAUUAUCUUCAAAACAAAGAGAGGGUGCCCUAUGCACCUAGAAGAGCACCAAUGAUGACGGGGUUGCAAUGGGUGCAAGAGAAAGAGAUGAAUCCAAAAGCAUUCUACUCAAUGUUUAGGAUGCGGAGGUCAGUGUUUUACCCAUUGCAUGACAUGCUAGUUGAGAAAUACGGUUUAAGGUCAACUUGCAACAUGCCAAGUAAAGAGGCGUUAGCACUAUUUUUAUGGACUUUGGGGACAUGCCAGACCACCGACAAUAUUGCAGAUCGAUUUGAACACAGUCGGUCUACCAUUAACAAAAAGUUUAAAGAGGUUUUAAGGUGUGUAUAUCGUAUGGCUGGUGAUUACCUAUGA
rnacentral:rRNA from 1 species